rnacentral:rRNA from 1 species
UACGGAGGGUGCGAGCGUUGUCCGGAAUCACUGGGCGUAAAGGGCGCGUAGGCGGCCGUGUAAGUCACUUGUGAAAUCCCCGGGGCUCAACUCCGGGGCUGCAGGUGAGACUGCGUGGCUAGAGCACGGUAGAGGCGAGUGGAAUUCCCGGUGUAGCGGUGGAAUGCGUAGAUAUCUGGAGGAACACCGGUGGCGAAGGCGGCAUCCUGGACCGACACUGACGCUGAGGAGCGAAGCCAGGGGAGCAAAACGGG